GAUGAACGCUGGCGGCGUGCUUAACACAUGCAAGUCGAACGAUGAAGCCCAGCUUGCUGGGUGGAUUAGUGGCGAACGGGUGAGUAACACGUGAGUAACCUGCCCUUGACUCUGGGAUAAGCCUGGGAAACUGGGUCUAAUACUGGAUAUGACUUCUCAUCGCAUGGUGGGGGGUGGAAAGAUUUAUUGGUCUUGGAUGGACUCGCGGCCUAUCAGCUUGUUGGUGAGGUAAUGGCUCACCAAGGCGACGACGGGUAGCCGGCCUGAGAGGGUGACCGGCUACACUGGGACUGAGACACGGCCCAGACUCCUACGGGAGGCAGCAGUGGGGAAUAUUGCACAAUGGGCGCAAGCCUGAUGCAGCGACGCCGCGUGAGGGAUGACGGCCUUCGGGUUGUAAACCUCUUUCAGUAGGGAAGAAGCGAGAGUGACGGUACCUGCAGAAGAAGCGCCGGCUAACUACGUG
rnacentral:rRNA from 1 species